AGGGAAUCUUCCGCAAUGGGCGAAAGCCUGACGGAGCAACGCCGCGUGAGUGAUGAAGGUCUUCGGAUCGUAAAACUCUGUUAUUAGGGAAGAACAUAUGUGUAAGUAACUGUGCACAUCUUGACGGUACCUAAUCAGAAAGCCACGGCUAACUACGUGCCAGCAGCCGCGGUAAUACGUAGGUGGCAAGCGUUAUCCGGAAUUAUUGGGCGUAAAGCGCGCGUAGGCGGUUUUUUAAGUCUGAUGUGAAAGCCCACGGCUCAACCGUGGAGGGUCAUUGGAAACUGAAAAACUUGAGUGCAGAAGAGGAAAGUGGAAUUCCAUGUGUAGCGGUGAAAUGCGCAGAGAUAUGGAGGAACACCAGUGGCGAAGGCGACUUUCUGGUCUGUAACUGACGCUGAUGUGCGAAAGCGUGGGGAUCAAACAGGAUUAGAUACCCUGGUAGUCCACGCCGUAAACGAUGAGUGCUAAGUGUUAGGGGGUUUCCGCCCCUUAGUGCUGCAGCUAACGCAUUAAGCACUCCGCCUGGGGAGUACGACCGCAAGGUUG
rnacentral:rRNA from 1 species